GCAAGUCGAGCGCAGUCCUUCGGGACCGAGCGGCGGACGGGUUAGUAACGCGUGGGAACGUACCCUUCUCUACGGAAUAGCCAUUGGAAACGAUGAGUAAUACCGUAUACGCCCUUUGGGGGAAAGAUUUAUCGGAGAAGGAUUGGCCCGCGUUAGAUUAGGUAGUUGGUGGGGUAACGGCCUACCAAGCCUACGAUCUAUAGCUGGUUUUAGAGGAUGAUC
rnacentral:rRNA from 1 species